UACGUAGGGUGCAAGCGUUAAUCGGAAUUACUGGGCGUAAAGCGUGCGCAGGCGGUUGUGCAAGCCAGAUGUGAAAUCCCCGGGCUCAACCUGGGAACUGCAUUUGUGACUGCACGGCUAGAGUGUGUCAGAGGGGGGUAGAAUUCCACGUGUAGCAGUGAAAUGCGUAGAUAUGUGGAGGAAUACCGAUGGCGAAGGCAGCCCCCUGGGAUAACACUGACGCUCAUGCACGAAAGCGUGGGGAGCAAACAGG
rnacentral:rRNA from 1 species